rnacentral:rRNA from 1 species
GCAAGUCGAGCGGUAACAGGUCCUUCGGGAUGCUGACGAGCGGCGGACGGGUGAGUAAUACAUAGGAAUCUGCCCAGUAGUGGGGGAUAGCCCGGGGAAACCCGGAUUAAUACCGCAUACGCCCUUUGGGGGAAAGCAGGGGAUCUUCGGACCUUGCGCUAUUGGAUGAGCCUAUGUCGGAUUAGCUAGUUGGUGGGGUAAGAGCCUACCAAGGCGACGAUCCGUAGCUGGUCUGAGAGGAUGAUCAGCCACAUCGGGACUGAGACACGGCCCGAACUCCUACGGGAGGCAGCAGUGGGGAAUAUUGGACAAUGGGGGCAACCCUGAUCCAGCCAUGCCGCGUGUGUGAAGAAGGCUUUCGGGUUGUAAAGCACUUUCAGUGAGGAGGAAAACCUUAUGGCCAAUACCCAUGAGGCUUGACGUCACUCACAGAAGAAGCACCGGCUAACUCCGUGCCAGCAGCCGCGGUAAUACGGAGGGUGCAAGCGUUAAUCGGAAUUACUGGGCGUAAAGCGCGCGUAGGUGGUUUGAUAAGCGAGAUGUGAAAGCCCCGGGCUUAACCUGGGAACGGCAUUUCGAACUGUCAGGCUAGAGUAUGGUAGAGGAGUGUGGAAUUUCCUGUGUAGCGGUGAAAUGCGUAGAUAUAGGAAGGAACACCAGUGGCGAAGGCGGCACUCUGGACCAAUACUGACACUGAGGUGCG